UACGUAGGGGGCGAGCGUUGUUCGGAUUCAUUGGGCGUAAAGGGUGCGUAGGCGGUCGCGCAAGUCGGAUGUGAAAUCUUGGGGCUCAACCCUGAAACUGCAUUCGAUACUGCGUGGCUCGAGUACUGGAGAGGAGACUGGAAUUUACGGUGUAGCAGUGAAAUGCGUAGAUAUCGUAAGGAAGACCAGUGGCGAAGGCGAGUCUCUGGACAGUUACUGACGCUGAGGCACGAAGGCCAGGGGAGCAAACGGG
rnacentral:rRNA from 1 species